GACGAACGCUGGCGGUGUGCUUAACACAUGCAAGUCGAACGGUAAGGCCCUUUCGGGGGUUCACGAGUGGCGAACGGGUGAGUAACACGUCAGUAAGCUGCCCUCAUCUCUGGGAUAACCGUCGGAAACGGUUGUAAAUCCUGGUUUUGAGCUUGCAUGGCAUCUUGUGGGUUGGAAAGAUUUUUUUUGGUCGGGGAUGGACUGGCGGCCUAUCAGCUUGUUGGUGUGGUAGUGGCUCACCAAGGCUUCGACGGGUAGCCGGCCUGAGAGGGCGACCGGCCACAUUGGGACUGAGAUACGGCCCAAACGCGUACGGGAGGCAGCAGUGGGGAAUAUUGCACAAUGGACGGAAGUCUGAUGCAGCAACGCCGCGUGCGGGAUGACGGCCUUCGGGUUGUAAACCGCUUUCAAUUGUGACGAAGCUUUUUUGUGACGGUAGCAGUAGAAGAAGCACCGGCGAACUACGU
rnacentral:rRNA from 1 species